UUAAAAAGCUCGUAGUUGGAUUUCGGAGUGGGCCAGUUGGUCCGCCGCAAGGUGUGUUACUGACUGGUUUGCUCUUCUUCGCAAAGACUGCGUGUGCUCUUUAUUGAGUGUGCGUAGGAUUUACGACGUUUACUUUGAAGAAAAUUAGAGUGUUCAAAGCAGGCUAUUGCUUGAAUACAUGAGCAUGGAAUAAUGGAAUAGGAUUUUGGUCCCAUUUUGUUGGUUUCUAGGACCGAAGUAAUGAUUAAGAGGGACAAUUGGGGGCAUCCGUAUUUCGUUGUCAGAGGUGAAAUUCUUGGAUUUACGAAAGACGAACAACUGCGAAAGCACUUGCCAAGAGUGUUUUCAUUAAUCAAGAACGAAAGUUAGAGGAUCGAAGACGAUCAGAUACCGUCCUAGUUCUAACCAUAAACGAUGUCGACUAGGGAUCAGCGGGCGUUAUCGUACGACCCCGUUGGCACCUUACGGGAAACCAAAGUUUCUGGAUUCCGGGGGAAGUAUAGUCGCAAGUCCGAAAACUUAAAGGAAUUGACGGAAAGGGCACCACCAGGAGUGGAGCCUGUGGCUCAAUUUGACUCAACACGGGG
rnacentral:rRNA from 1 species